rnacentral:rRNA from 1 species
AUUGAACGCUGGCGGCAGGCCUAACACAUGCAAGUUGAGCGGGGUUUUCGGACCUAGCGGCGGACGGGUGAGUAAUGCGUAGGAAGCUGCCCGAUAGAGGGGGAUACCAGUUGGAAACGACUGUUAAUACCGCAUAAUGUCUACGGACCAAAGUGUGGGACCUUCGGGCCACAUGCUAUCGGAUGCGCCUACGUGGGAUUAGCUAGUUGGUGAGGUAAUGGCUCACCAAGGCGACGAUCUCUAGCUGGUUUGAGAGGAUGAUCAGCCACACUGGAACUGAGACACGGUCCAGACUCCUACGGGAGGCAGCAGUGGGGAAUAUUGGACAAUGGGCGCAAGCCUGAUCCAGCCAUGCCGCGUGUGUGAAGAAGGCCUUCGGGUUGUAAAGCACUUUCAGCGAGGAGGAAGGGUGGUGUGUUAAUAGCACAUCAUUUUGACGUACUCGCAGAAGAAGCACCGGCUAACUCUGUGCCAGCAGCCGCAGUAACAC